GAAACGACUGCUAAGACUGGAUAGGAAAAGUGAAGGCAUCUUUACUUUUUUAAAAGACCUUCUUUGAAGGUAUGCUUAAGGAGGGGCUUGCGACACAUUAGUUAGUUGGCAGGGUAAAGGCCUACCAAGACUAUGAUGUGUAGCUGGACUGAGAGGUUGAACAGCCACAUUGGGACUGAGACGCGGCCCAAACUCCUACGGGAGGCAGCAGUAGGGAAUUUUCGGCAAUGGAGGAAACUCUGACCGAGCAACGCCGCGUGAACGAUGAAGUACCUCGGUAUGUAAAGUUCUUUUAUUAAGGAAGAAAAAAGAGUGGAAAAACUCCCUUGACGGUACUUAAUGAAUAAGCCCCGGCUAAUUAUGUGCCAGCAGCCGCGGUAAUACAUAAGGGGCGAGCGUUAUCCGGAAUUAUUGGGCGUAAAGGGUGCGUAGGCGGUUUAAUAAGUCUAUAGUUUAAUUUCAGCGCUUAACGCUGUUGUGCUAUAGAAACUGUUUUACUAGAGUGAGAUAGAGGCAAGCGGAAUUCCAUGUGUAGCGGUAAAAUGCGUAAAUAUAUGGAGGAACAUCAGAGGCGUAGGCGGCUUGCUGGGUCUUUACUGACGCUGAGGCACGAAAGCGUGGGGAGCAAACAGGAUUAGAUACCCUGGUAGUCCACGCCGUAAACGAUGAGUACUAAGUGUCGGGUAAAACCGGUACUGAAGUUAACACAUUAAGUACUCCGCCUGAGGAGUACGUACGCAAGUAUGAAACUUAAAGGAAUUGACGGGACUCCGCACAAGCGGUGGAUCAUGUUGUUUAAUUCGAAGAUACACGAAAAACCUUACCAGGUCUUGACAUUUUCUUGCGAAGUUAUAGAAAUAUAAUGGAGGUUAUCAGGAAAACAGGCGGUGCAUGGUUGUCGUCAGCUCGUGUCGUGAGAUGUUAGGUUAAGUCCUAAAACGAGCGCAACCCUUGUCGUUAAUUGCCAGCAUGUAAUGAUGGGGACUUUAACGAGACUGCCAAUGAAAAAUUGGAGGAAGGUGGGGAUUACGUCAAAUCAUCAUGCCCCUUAUGAUCUGGGCUACAAACGUGAUACAAUGGUUGAUACAAAGAGUAGCUGAAACGCGAGUUCUUAGCCAAUCUCACAAAAUCAAUCUCAGUUCGGAUUGAAGUCUGCAACUCGACUUCAUGAAGUUGGAAUCGCUAGUAAUCGUGAAUCAGCAUGUCGCGGUGAAUACGUUCUCGGGGUUUGUACACACCGCCCGUCA
rnacentral:rRNA from 1 species